rnacentral:tRNA from 1 species
GGAAGCGUGGCCGAGUGGUUUAAGGCAACGGUCUUGAAAACCGUCAUAGGGCAACCUAUCGUGAGUUCGAAUCUCACCGCUUCCG